rnacentral:rRNA from 1 species
UACGUAGGGACCGAGCGUUGUCCGGAUUCAUUGGGCGUAAAGAGCUCGUAGGCGGCUGCUCAAGUCGAAUGUGAAAACUCGAGGCUCAACCUCGAGCCUGCAUUCGAUACUGGGCGGCUAGAGUCUGGUAGGGGGAUCUGGAAUUCCUGGUGUAGCGGUGGAAUGCGCAGAUAUCAGGAGGAACACCUGUGGCGAAGGCGGGUUGCUGGGCCGACACUGACGCUGAAGCGCGAAAGCCAGGGGAGCGAACGGG